GAUACAACCAUUCUGACUGUUUUCCUUCUCGUGGUCAUUAUUGGUUUGGUUGUUUAAAUCAGAAAACUUCAAGCAGCUCUGAAUGAAGAACAGAAAACACAUCAUCAGGAGAAUCCAGCCUCUGAUGAACUGAACUACGCAGCACUGAAUUUCCGUCAAAAAGAAAGACAAAGAGAAGUGGAGCCAAACGUUGUGUAUUCUGCUACUAGAUAGACUGAAGAAGCAACAAACACAGGUCAGAGCAAACUGAGGACUGAUUUAUAACAAGCUGCGAAUAAACAGUGACAGAUGCUUAUCAGAAUCUAUGUUUUUUUGCCAAAACAAACCUAGUAUCAUAUUUUAUUCUCUAUUUGUUUUUGUGACGAUAGAAAAUAAAGUAUAUACAACAUUUCUACAUGUACUAAAGCAGGAAUAACUGUGAACCAGCACCCAUCUAGUUUUACCUGUUUAUUUGUGUCUAAAAUAAAUACUAACACAUAUUUUGUUCCAUUAGUUUGUGUAACGCUGUGCUGUGGUUAGAAAACUGCACUGCCUGUAUUAGACUCAACCACUAAACUAAUGACCUUCAGCUGGUCAUGUUCUCUCCUGUUGUAUUUCAUCAUUGUCAUUGUGUUAGUCUCCAAUAGUGCAAAGAAACACCCAACCUCCAUGUAGACGCCAGCCCUAGUGGCCUAGUGUGGUUUGCUGGGUAGCUAGAGCUGAGUUUUAAGAGGAGGAAGGUGAGUGGUGAGUAAAUGGGCCCCAGGACAGAAACAAAGGGUCCUCCUCUAGUGAUGAGAUAGUGAGAAUGGGAAGAAUUUUAAAUCAAUGAACUGAGUGGAGGCUGAGAGAGAAGAGUGAGACCAGUGUAGGGGUGUGUGAGUGAUACCAAUGGAGGAAAAUCUUUUUCGAAUGUCAUCAGCAAUUGUAUCAAAAGCUGCACUCAGAUCAAGAACAGUGAGAACGGACCCCAAACCAGAGUCAGCUGUUAUGAGGAGGUCAUUUGACAUUUUCUUAAGGGCCGUUUCUUUACUGCUGGGACAGAAACCAGUCUGGAAAGGUUCAUACAGACAAUCUGGGGUUAAGUGGAAGAGGCAUUGGGUGGCGACUACUUUUCUGGUAGUUUGGAAAUAAACGCUAGGUUAGAAAUUGGCCCUAGUUUAUUGCAGUUGUUUGGAGUGAAACCAGGUUGUGUCAGUUUUGAGCUGAGAGGAGCUGUUCUGAGGGGCUUGGAAACAAUUCCAGUGGUGAGUGAGUGAGGACUCUAAAUGGCAGCAAUGAAGUGAAACAAAGAUGAGACAAGAUUUAACCAAGGCUGUGGAGAGAAAUGAGAACGUAUCAGGAGACAUCUGACAAGUAUCAAAAUGUGACAAAUGUUAUCAUAUGAGCAGAUUAUUUAACUUGACUCAGCUCUAUUACAUUUGUUGUAUUUGUUAAAAAAACAGUAAUGACACAUGAUGAUGUAA